rnacentral:lncRNA from 1 species
CUAAUGGUAUGUAUACCGUCUAUUUUCCUAGCAAUAUAUAAGUCUCUCAGGAGCAGAAACAGAGUCUGCUUCCUUCACAGUCUUGUCUCUGAAGAGAUACGCUUUGUCACAAAGAGAAAAUCUCUUCAGCCUUCAGUAGUGGUAAUGGAUUCUCUUCUGGAACACAGCUUGGGUCUGGCUAUACCAAGAAAGGAGGGAAAGAAAAAGCUGUCUCCCCUUCAGAAGACUUCUAUCCCAUCCCCUCCCCCUGCCUCUAUGACGGUGCUCCCCCACCCACCUACCCGUUCUACCUUUCCACCCUGGCAUUCCCCUACAUUGAGGCAUCGAAUACCCUCAGGCCCAAGGGCCUCUUCUUACUGAUGUCCAACAAGGCCAUCCUCUGCCACAUAUGCAGCUGAAGCCAUGGGUCCGUCCAUACGUACUCUUUGGUCGGUGGUCCAGUCCCCGGGAGCUUUGGGGCCAUCUGACUGGCUGACACUGUUGCUCCCUCCGUAGGGCUACAAACCCCCGCAGCUUCUUCAGUCCCUUCUCAACUCCUCCAUGAAGGACCCUGCACUCAGUCCAAUGGUUGGCUGUGAGCCUUCACCUCCGUAUUUGUCAGGCUGUGACAGAGCCUCUCAAGAGACAGUCAUAUCAAGCUCCUGGCAGCAAGAGCCUGGCAUCCACAGUUAUUGUUCAACAUAAUCUACAAUGGCAGACAUAAGACAUAAUCUCAAAGCUCUAGUAUUUGGAGGAAACAUCUGGUAGCUAUGAAUGAAAGUAUAAUCAUGACUAUUAGUUUCUCUGGCAGAUUAAAACAGCAUUAAAUAAAAUCACUAAUAUUUGUCUGAGACUAAUAUACUUGAUAUUUUAGAAUUCUGGAGUUUUCUUCUCUUGUAGACUCAGUGUUUCUGUCUCUGCAGCUUCCCCUGAUUUUCUUUUGGAACUGUAUGAAGUAAGUAAGGAAGUCUUCCCCAGUAUUUUUCAAAUCAUAUAUUUUACCCAGUGGACCCUGUUAAGAAUUGUUUUUACAUCUCCCUACUUAAAAUACUAACUUCC